AGGCAUCGAUCAGUAGCUGGUCUGAGAGGAUGAUCAGCCACACUGGGACUGAGACACGGCCCAGACCCCUACGGGAGGCAGCAGUGGGGAAUUUUCCGCAAUGGGCGAAAGCCUGACGGAGCAACGCCGCGUGAGGGAUGAAGGCCUCUGGGCUGUAAACCUCUUUUCUCAAGGAAGAAGACAUGACGGUACUUGAGGAAUAAGCCACGGCUAAUUCCGUGCCAGCAGCCGCGGUAAUACGGGAGUGGCAAGCGUUAUCCGGAAUUAUUGGGCGUAAAGCGUCCGCAGGCGGCCUUGUAAGUCUGUUGUUAAAGCGUGGAGCUCAACUCCAUUUCAGCAAUGGAAACUACAAGGCUUGAGUGUGGUAGGGGCAGAGGGAAUUCCCGGUGUAGCGGUGAAAUGCGUAGAUAUCGGGAAGAACACCAGUGGCGAAGGCGCUCUGCUGGGCCAUCACUGACGCUCAUGGACGAAAGCCAGGGGAGCGAAAGGGAUUAGAUACCCCUGUAGUCCUGGCCGUAAACGAUGAACACUAGGUGUCGGGGGAAUCGACCCCCUCGGUGUCGUAGCCCACGCGUUAAGUGUUCCGCCUGGGGAGUACGCACGCAAGUGUGAAACUCAAAGGAAUUGACGG
rnacentral:rRNA from 1 species